GCCCCGCCCAGCCAAUCAAAAGGCAGACAGGGCGUGGCUUCUGACCGCCGGCUGUUUAAAAAGCCCCGCCCACUGCCAGGGUUCACGGCUGGAAUCAUUGUGUGGAGGAGGGGGGAGAGGAAAGAGAGCGGCGUGUCUGGAGGAGGCGGGGCUUAAAGUACUCCGAAAGGCUCCGCCCACUCUCGAAAGGGGCGUGGCCUCCGCCAUUGAGGAAUUCUCCCUCGGCAUGUACGCGGCUACUACAGCCACGCAGAGUGCGUGCCAAUGUAAAUACAUGGGUGGCGAGACGGUGAGCACGGCGCAUGCGCGGGUCAAGUGCCUUUGGGCCACAUAAUACAUGUUGAGUAGCCCUGGAAUGAAAUGCUUGCAGCAGAAAUAGUUUGGGAUUGUUUAUUUAAUUAAUUUAUAGUGUUAUAGUAUAUUAUAGCAAUUCUUUUUUUUCGUGUCAGGAGCGACUUGAGAAACUUCCAAGUCGCUUCUGGAGUGAGAGAAUUGGCCGUCUGCAAGGACAUUGCUCAGGGGACGCCCGGAUAUUUUUGAUGUUUUUACCAUCCUUGUGGGAGGCUUCUCUCAUGUCCCCGCAUGGAGCUGGAGCUGACAGAGAGAGCUCAUCCGUGCUUUCCCCGGGUUGGAUUCGAACCUGGCAGCCUUCAGGUCCUGGGCAAUGCAUUACAAAAUGGCCUCACUUCUCCUGCUACCGACAUGAAAUUCAGGAUGGCAGGGAUAGCCUAACAUAUCCAGAACUGAUAGAAGCACUGUCUAGGUAAGUAUUUUUCUCAAGUAAUGGCCCAGUUUUCCAAUUAGAAUAGAUACUCUUUGCUACUGUUUUAUUACACUAUAUUAAAAAAAUUGAAAAAAAUCUGUUCCUGGUUGAAAGUGUUAAUUUCUGUUUAAUUGUGCGAUACUUACUUUGAAAGUAGUUGUUAUACUCCAGAAACUUUGUUUUUUGUGACUGAAGGUAGUACUAUUGUUACCUCAAUCUAUUCCAGGCAUGG